ACGUACACUCCUGCGGGAGGCAGCAGUGGGGAAUAUUGGACAAUGGGCGCAAGCCUGAUCCAGCCAUGCCGCGUGAGUGAUGAAGGCCCUAGGGUUGUAAAGCUCUUUCACCGGAGAAGAUAAUGACGGUAUCCGGAGAAGAAGCCCCGGCUAACUUCGUGCCAGCAGCCGCGGUAAUACGAAGGGGGCUAGCGUUGUUCGGAAUUACUGGGCGUAAAGCGCACGUAGGCGGAUCGAUCAGUCAGGGGUGAAAUCCCAGGGCUCAACCCUGGAACUGCCUUUGAUACUGUCGAUCUGGAGUAUGGAAGAGGUGAGUGGAAUUCCGAGUGUAGAGGUGAAAUUCGUAGAUAUUCGGAGGAACACCAGUGGCGAAGGCGGCUCACUGGUCCAUUACUGACGCUGAGGUGCGAAAGCGUGGGGAGCAAACAGGAUUAGAAACCCUAGUAGUCCCAUG
rnacentral:rRNA from 1 species